GACGAACGCUGGCGGCGUGCUUAACACAUGCAAGUCGAACGGAAAGGCCCUGCUCUUGUGGGGUGCUCGAGUGGCGAACGGGUGAGUAACACGUGAGUAACCUGCCCUUGACUUUGGGAUAACUUCAGGAAACUGGGGCUAAUACCGGAUAGGAGCUCCUGCUGCAUGGUGGGGGUUGGAAAGUUUCGGCGGUUGGGGAUGGACUCGCGGCUUAUCAGCUUGUUGGUGGGGUAGUGGCUUACCAAGGCUUUGACGGGUAGCCGGCCUGAGAGGGUGACCGGCCACAUUGGGACUGAGAUACGGCCCAGACUCCUACGGGAGGCAUCAGUGGGGAUGAUUGCACAGUGGGCGGAAGCCUGAUGCAGCAACGCCGCGUGCGGGAUGACGGCCUUCGGGUUGUAAACCGCUUUCGCCUGUGACGAAGCGUGAGUGACGGUAAUGGGUAAAGAAGCACCGGCUAACUACGUG
rnacentral:rRNA from 1 species